CAGCCACAUCAUAUUGAAACACCAGUUCUCAUACAAUCACUGAAGUUAAGCAACAUUGAGCUUGGUCAGUAGCUAGAUGAGUGACCACUUGAGAAUACUAAUUGCUGU